rnacentral:rRNA from 1 species
UACGGAGGGUGCGAGCGUUGUCCGGAAUCACUGGGCGUAAAGGGCGCGUAGGCGGCUCAUGAAGGCUGUGGUGAAAGUCCGGGGCUCAACCUCGGAUCGGCCGUGGCGACUCCGUGGCUCGGAGCACUGUAGAGGCAGGUGGAAUUCCGGGUGUAGCGGUGGAAUGCGUAGAGAUCCGGAAGAACACCGGUGGCGAAGGCGGCCUGCUGGGCAGUAGCUGACGCUGAGGCGCGACAGCGUGGGGAGCAAACAGG